UACAGAGGGUGCAAGCGUUAAUCGGAAUUACUGGGCGUAAAGCGUGCGCAGGCGGUUUUGUAAGUCUGUCGUGAAAUCCCCGGGCUCAACCUGGGAAUUGCGAUGGAGACUGCAAGGCUAGAAUCUGGCAGAGGGGGGUAGAAUUCCACGUGUAGCAGUGAAAUGCGUAGAGAUCGGGGAGGAAUACCGGUGGCGAAAGCGACUCUCUGGACGGCAACUGACGCUGAGGCACGAAAGCGUGGGGGAGCAAACAGG
rnacentral:rRNA from 1 species